UACGGAGGGGGCUAGCGUUAUUCGGAAUUACUGGGCGUAAAGCGCACGUAGGCGGCUUUGUAAGUCAGAGGUGAAAGCCUGGAGCUCAACUCCAGAACUGCCUUUGAGACUGCAUCGCUUGAAUCCAGGAGAGGUGAGUGGAAUUCCGAGUGUAGAGGUGAAAUUCGUAGAUAUUCGGAAGAACACCAGUGGCGAAGGCGGCUCACUGGACUGGUAUUGACGCUGAGACGCGAAAGCGUGGGGAGCGAACAGG
rnacentral:rRNA from 1 species